UCCUGGCGCGUUGCAAACGCAGUCGGCACUUCACUCUUAUUAUUAUGAUGAAUUUAAAUAGCUACGAUUGUAUAUCGCAACUUCAGAUAUCAUCUCGAAAGUGGAGGAAAUAAAGUGGCAAAUGCAACAGGAGUUGAUCAAGUCGUAAUUGUGCACGCUGGACUAAAAUCUCAGCAAUGUCGCUACUGUGCGUGCGAGUGAAAAAGGCCAAGCUACAAGGACCUCCAGACAAGUUUAAUGUGUACGUCACGUUGAAGGUCCAGAAUGUUAAAAGCACAACCAUCACGGUGCGAGGAGACCAGCCUUGCUGGGAACAGGACUUUAUGUUGUGAGUAAAUCUGCCUAAAUUUGUGCCUAAUGAAAGAGUCCUACGCUGAAGGACUCAAAAAACACUCAAAACUACUUUGCUGUGGAAAAUGGAAGAUUGUUUUUGAGCACAUCAAACUGGGUUUGCAGAUGUGUUCUUUGAAACA